rfam:Danio rerio chromosome 6, GRCz11 reference primary assembly.
CUAAGCUGAGGUAGUAGAUUGAAUAGUUGUGGAGUAUAAAACCUCCCUUUGAGAUAACUAUACAAUCUACUGUCUUUCUUUA